UGCAAGUCGAACGAAUCCCAUCUGGGUAACUGGGUGGGGGAAGUGGCGAAAGGGGCAGUAAGGCGUGGGCAACCUACCCCGGGGAUCGGGAUAGCCGUCCUAACGGACGGAUAAUACCGGGCGAUCUGGCGAGGAGGCAUCUUCUGGCCAGGAAAUGAAUUUCGCCUCGGGAGGGGCUCACGUAGUAUUAGCUUGUUGGCGGGGUAACGGCCCACCAAGGCCAAGAUGCUUAGCGGGUGUGAGAGCACGACCCGCGCCACUGGCACUGAGACACUGGCCAGACUCCUACGGGAGGCUGCAGUCGAGGAUCUUCGGCAAUGGGCGCAAGCCUGACCGAGCGACGCCGCGUGUGCGAUGAAGGCCUUCGGGUUGUAAAGCACUGUCGAGGGGGAGAAAAGCCCGCAAGGGUCUGAUCUAUCCCUGGAGGAAGCACGGGCUAAGUUCGUGCCAGCAGCCGCGGUAAGACGAACCGUGCGAACGUUGUUCGGAUUCACUGGGCUUAAAGGGCGCGUAGGCGGACGGUCAAGUCGGGGGUGAAAUCUUUCAGCUUAACUGGAAACGUGCCUUCGAUACUGAUCGUCUCGAGGGAGGUAGGGGCAUGCGGAACUUCCGGUGGAGCGGUGAAAUGCGUAGAUAUCGGAAGGAACGCCGGUGGCGAAAGCGGCGUGCUGGACCUCUUCUGACGCUGAGGCGCGAAAGCCAGGGGAGCGAACGGGAUUAGAUACCCCGGUAGUCCUGGCCCUAAACGAUGGGUACUAGAUCGUGGACUUAACAUGGGUUCCCAAUCGAAGCUAAAGUGUUAAGUACCCCGCCUGGGGAGUAUGGUCGCAAGGCUGAAACUCAAAGGAAUUGACGGGGGCUCACACAAGCGG
rnacentral:rRNA from 1 species